CCUACGGGUGGCAGCAGUGAGGAAUAUUGGUCGAUGGACGAGAGUCUGAACCAGCCAAGUAGCGUGAAGGAUGACUGCCCUAUGGGUUGUAAACUUCUUUUAUAUGGGAAUAAAAUGUUCCACGUGUGGGAUUUUGUAUGUACCAUAUGAAUACGGAUCGGCUAACUCCGUGCCAGCAGCCGCGGUAAUACGGAGGAUCCGAGCGUUAUCCGGAUUUAUUGGGUUUAAAGGGAGCGUAGGUGGAUUGUUAAGUCAGUUGUGAAAGUUUGCGGCUCAACCGUAACAUUGCAGUUGAAACUGGCAGUCUUGAGUACAGUAGAGGUGGGCGGAAUUCGUGGUGUAGCGGUGAAAUGCUUAGAUAUCACGAAGAACUCCGAUUGCGAAGGCAGUUCACUGGACUGCAACUGACACUGAGGCUCGAAAGUGUGGGUAUCAAACAGGAUUAGAUACCCCUGUAGUC
rnacentral:rRNA from 1 species